AAAAAAACUGCAGAAAAAAAAAAAAGUCAAGAUUAAGAGCAUAGACUUUGGACUCAGAGCUACCUGCCUGAGUUCAAAUUCUGACUCAGUUGGUUUGUAUGAUAUAGCAUGGACAAGUUGUUGAACCUCUGAGUCUCAGUUUUAUCACCAGUAAAUGUAAGAUACUAAGACUGUCUUGUAAGAUGUCACAUGGAGUAAAUGAGAUGAUGGCCUUACAGCAUUUAGUGAUUAAAUGCCAGCUAGGGUAGGGCAUCUGGAUUGCUGCUGCUUCUGCUCCCGCUGAUGAGGACUAAGUGGAUGCAGUCCCUGGCUUGGAAUGUUGUGAAGAAGUGGCAAGCAGCUGCUGGAAGGGACAGUGUUGGUUCCUGCGUCUGGGAACUUCUCUGUUCAGUGAGUGCCUUCCCCCCUAAUGCACUAUUUGCUUUUAAAGUUUCCUUAGAAACCACACAUUAUCAUGUAACUCACCCUUGGCUCCAUUUGAACACAUUUUUAUUUUUUUGUGUGUGAAUCACAAGGUCUGUUCCUUUCAGUUGUGGCCUUUUGCUUGUCCCUGCUUUCCCUGGGUUUCUAAAGUGUGGCCAUUCAAGAGGGCCAAGGCCGUCUCCUGUGUCACGCCAAGAUUGUGUUUGUGCUCUUGGCAGGAUGUGUUGUUAACCUUUGAAUGCCGUGUCUCUGCAAGAAAAACUGUGCUCCAGUGACACACUUUAGUUAGGAACUUUGUGAGUAGUGUUGGAAAUAACAUCGGCAGUACGCAGGCCCAAUUCUGGGGUGUAGGAGGGCACCCUUUUAUCAAGCGAUUGCAUAGAAAUCCCACUCUUUGGCAAGGAAGGAUGCCACAGUACCCUGACUCCAUCUCCCAGGCCUCCAGGGGACACUCCCACUUCUCUCUUUGCCUCUUCCACCUGCUCCUGUCCUCAAGCUGGUGCACAACCAGUGCUCUUUCCAUUUGCAAAAAAAGGGGUGGUUGCCUGAAUGCUGAGGAAAAGGAAAACAGUGCCCAAGAAAGUGCCUUAACCUCCUUUUCAGUUACUGUCACUUCCAUAUGACCCAGCUCUAAAGAGACAAGACUCAAUCCUAUGAGGGUAGGGGACUUAUUCAGCUAAAAUGAGCAUUUGAUGCAGAAUCAGCUGUAUGUUGAAUGGUUACAGCACAGAGAGCCCUCAGCCAUCCUUAGAAGUUCUUUACUACUUGCACAACCAGCAUGCACAACCAGAAGUACAUUUUUUUUUUUUCCAACUGAAAAUUACUUUUUUCCCCCCUGGUUACUUAAGUAAUUUGAGCUUAUUGUAGAGAAUUCAGAAAAUAUAAUAAGGAGUAAAGAAGAGAGUUAACUCUACCCACCCCCAAAUAAUUACUAAUAGUUUGGAGUCAAACUUCAUAGACUUUUCCUAUGCAUGCACUUAAUUCAUUCAUUUUUUUUUUUUUAAGUGACUGUACUAUUCAUGUUGUUUGGGAAACCUUUGAUCCAAUAUCCAUUGCCACACAAAUCCAAUCUAAGUUUUAGAAGUAUAAAAUAGCAACCAAUUUGUUACAUCACAUGAAUUCUGUGGGAGGGAAGUAUGGACCAUGGCAUGGCGUACUUCUGCCCCAUGAAGUCUGGGACUGCACCUGGAAAAUCUCAAAUGACUGGGGAUGACUGAAAUGUCUGGGGCCUGGAAACUUCUGGAGGCUUCUUUCUUCAUUCUCACGGCUGGCACUUGGGUUGAGUUCAUUGAAAUUCUGAACAUGGUUGGGAUUGUUGACUGGAGUGCCUGAUUGUAGCAUCUCCAUGUGGCUUGGACUUCCUCACAGUACCGUGGUGUUGAGGUAGUUGGACUUCUUAUAUGGUGGCUCAAGGCUCUAAGAGUGAGUGUUCCAGAGAACAAGGCAAAAGUGUGGCCUUUUAUGAUCUAGCCUUCAAAGACAUAAAAUGUCACUUCUGCCGUACUGUAUUGGUCAAAGCAAUAGCAAGCCACUCAGAUUCAAGGGGAGCGGGCAGCAAAGAAGUUGCCACUGUGUUUUAAAAUUCUAACAAAUUUUUGUUUCUUUUAUACAUAACAUGGACAGUAUACUGGAUUUAAUUGUGUCCCCCUCCCAAAUAUGUUCAAAUCCUAACCCUCAGUCCCUGUAAAUGUGAUCUUAUUUGGAAAUAGGCUCUUUCCAGAUGUAAUCAAGUUACGAUGAGACUGUACUGGAUUAGGGUGGGUAUUAAUCUAAGGAUUGGUGUCCUUUUAAGGAGAAAGGAACUUUGAUUUUUUAAUUUCAGGUUAAUGUGAGGUCCAAACAACUAGGUUACACUGCUUGCAUUUGUUAAGAGGAGUCUCAUAGUUGUGCCCUGCACCGAGGAGGUGUGCCAGCUACUCUCACAUCGUGCCCAUUAAGUGGGAGAACACCGAUCCCACUUCCUCUUCCCCUCUCCUCCUUCCCUUGUUCCUUCUCUGCCAACUAGAAUCGAGUUUUUCUCUUAUGUGGGUGUGUUAGAUCACCUCUUGGCUUCAUAUUACUAUUGAGUAUACUGGAUACUUACUUUUCCAUUCUUGUCAUACUUUACUAAGAAUGUGCUUCAACUCCAUCUAGGUUAAUACAAAAGAUGUAAAGUCUCCAUCUUUUUAAUGGCUGAAUAGUAUUCCAUGGUAUGCACAUACCAGUUUUUUUUUUUGUUUUUGGUUUUUUGAGACAGAGCCUCAAGCUGUUGCCCUGGGUAGAGUGCUGUGACAUCACAGCUCACAGCAACCUUCAACUCUUGGGCUUAAGCAAUUCUCUUGCCUCAGCCUCCCACGUAGCUGGGACUACAGGCUCCCACCACAAUGCCCAGCUACAACCAAAAUUGUAGUUGUCAUUGUUGUUUGGCAGGCCUGGGCUGGAUUCGAACCCGCCAUCUCUGGUGUAUGUGGCUGGCACUUUAGUCGCUUGAGCUAAAGGCCCCGAGCCACACAUACCAGUUUGUUAAUCCAUUUCUGGGUUGCUGGGCACUUGGGUUGUUUCCAUAUCUUGGUGAUUGUAAAUUGAACUGUGAUAAAUGAUCCAGUGCAAAUGUCCUUAUAUAAAAUGAUUUUUUUUCUUCUGGGUAGAUGGUUCAUAAUGGGAUUGCAGGAUCAAAUGGAAGGUCUAAUUUGAGUUCUUUGAGGAUUCUCCAUUCUUCUUUCCAAAGAGGCCAUAUUAGAGUGAAGUCCUACCAACAGUGUAAAAGUGUUCCUAGAAGAGGGACAUUUGGACACAGACACAUAAGGAGAAUGCCAUGUGAAAGUGAACAUUGGAGCAAAAAACCUAUAAGCCGAGGGACACCAGGGAUUGCUGGCAGCACCAGGAGAGCCUUGCAUGGUUAUCAUGGAAUCAGCCUUCAAUGCAAAUCAAUUAGUCACCACCAACAAAAAAGUAUGAGAAAAUACAAGGACUAAUCACCUACAAGGAUUAUGUGAAAGGAUCUCAAGUAUUAAGAUUUUUAAGGAUUUAAAGAAACUCUUGUCCUGUCUGAAAACCUGCUUGAUUAGGUGACCUAAGGAACAGAUGUAAGACUUCCUGUUCUCCAGGAAGCCACCAAAGAAGUCUGAAGCAGCCAAGCCUCUUUGCCAAGGGUUAAGGAAUGAUUCAGAAAUGUAAUCCCGGCAGACAGCUACAGAAACAUACCCUGUACACCACGGGCCUUGUGCUUCUUGGUCCUCUCUGCUGCUCCUUUAUGAUUUCUGGGUUGGAGGAGGCCUCUUGUGUGUUCCUUCUUAAGUUCAAUUCCCUCUUUUCUUUCCUUGGAGCCCGGGAGCCCUCCCUUUCUCUUGGGGCUGGGAAGUCAGUGGCAGGCAAAGCUGCUAGCUCUGCAAGGCUGAACUAGGUGUGUCGUUUCAUUUCUUCCAUGGACUGGUGGUCUUCUAAUAAAGUGCCUGAA